AGGGUGCUCCGUAACGCGGAGUCGUGGCAACGCGAAGGAAAGUGCAACAGAAAAGAUACCGCCAGGGAAAUUUUUCCUGGUAAGGGUGAAAUGGUGCGGUAAGAGCGCACCAGUUCCCCGGGUGACCGGGGAAGCUUUGUAAACCCCACCCGGUGCAAGACCAAAUAGAGGAGUGUCUGAGGAUGGCCCGUCCAAGCUCCCGGGUAGGUUGCAGGAGAUGCGGGGCAAUCCGCAUCCGCAGAUGAAUGACCGUCACCCGGUUCGGGGAAACCCGGAACGGGAACAAAAUUCGGCUUAUGGGCUGCUCUGGCCU
rnacentral:RNase_P_RNA from 2 species